ensembl:lncRNA
UGGAAAUGCACCAAACCACAUAAAAUUACUGUUAUUAAGUAUUUUUAUUUAAAAGCUUGUUGUAUGAAUAAGGUUUGAGUGGAUAUCUAUUCUGAAGCUACUCCCAUGAAAUAAUGUUCUAGUACUUGUGAGGACUUGUAAACUCAAUUUCUGUUAGUUAACUUUAUAAAGGUUGUCCCUUCUGUAUAUUUCUUACCUAACCUAUACCUUUUACAAAAGAGGCUUGAGGUAGGACAGACAAAAGCCCAUUUGAAUGUGAUGACUGACCUAAGGCUUUGUAUAGUCUAGGUUUUGGAGAAAUUUAGAUUCAUUAUUUGUUGUUAAAGUAGCAUUGUGAUAUUUAGGUAUUAUUCCAAGUGCUUUAUCAACAGUGCUUUAUGUAACACUGUAUUUGUGUGGUUCUUAGAUAUAAUGAAGGUUUAUUUUAUACAUGAGAUAAGAAGAGUAAUUCAAAUUGAUGAGGAAAAAGAAGAGUUCUAAGGAAAACAUGUUAAGAAUACUAAAUCAGAUUUUUUUUUAUCAUGAAAAAAUAUAUUAAAUAACAGUAUAAGUAGUUGAUUACCUGUAAUUUCUAUGAGGUUUCUUUGUGGUGCCUUAAGCCAUUAGCGUCACAGUGAACUCUCUUGAAUUGAUUUUAUUGGAUUUCAAUAGCUUUAAAAUAUAAUUUAAUUUUUGCAUCUGUUUGAAGUGUAGGCUUAGAAUUUUUUGUCGAGUGUGGUGUUGUAUUUGAGUGUAUUUGUGUUGAGAGUGUAUUUAAAUGUUAAAAAUGUAACUGAAUUAUUUGUGACAUUUCUUUAGAUCAUUUGAUUUAUUUUUCCUAGCCUAAAGUUUUAAAAACAUUUUGUAUGCUAAGAAGUAAUUCCUAUUAUCUUUGAGAUGUAUAUGUACAUUUUGACUUGCUUGAAGGUAAAAACAUCACAACUGCUUUCUAGUAGAAAAAGAAUUUCAUGAAAUGAACCUUUGCUUUCAUUUGAAAAGAAUAUAUUUUGAGUGUCAAACAAAUCAAUCAAUAAAUAUUUAUUGUGCCAUGUGCUAGGAAUAUUGUUAGGCACUGGGGAUUCAAAUAUAGAGAAUGAAAAGUCCCAACUGUCAAGAAAAAAUGCAUCUCAUCCAGAAAUCCAAAUAUAGUAGUUAUUAUUGUUGAGGCUCUGAAUGGUAAUGAUUCUUUUUUAGUGAUUUGAUAGAGAACAAUAAUUUAGACUUGUGUCAUUUAAAAAAAUUUUUUUUCAUCUAUGAAUUAUUUGAAUUUUUAAAAUUAUGGUAUUUACAUUUUACUAAAGGAAAUGUUUUGCCUAAGGUGAUGAAAAUAUAAAAGUUUAGGUUUUUAAAAACUGUUGUCCAACCUAUUCCUUAAAAGAAUUUUUAUUCUGUAAGUGAUAGUGUUGUUUUGCUGUUCAGUGAUUUCAAUUUGUGUUUGACUCUUCUUGAGAUACCAUUUGGGAUUUUCUUGGCAAAGAUAUGAAGUAGUUUGCCAUUUCUUUCCUCAGUUUGACAGAUAAGGAAACUGAGGCAAAUAGAGUUAAGUGACUUGCCCAGAGUUAUAUAAGUAGUUUCUAAGGCUAUAUUUGAACUCAGGAACAUGACUCUUCCAGACGUCAGGAUCUGCAUUCUUUCCAGUAUAUCAACUAACUGUUCUUAUAACGAUAGUUGUUACAGUAAUUAAAUUUGAUUCCUACUAAUAUGUCAAUAUAUUAUAAUAAUUCUGAUUUAAACAGAGAGAAACAUACUCCUUAAAAUAAGAUUCAGAAAUUGCUAAUAGUUUUAACUUAGGCAAUAUAAUGCAUUGACUAUAUCUUAAAAACUCUGAAAAUAGCAGCUAAUCACAGUUUCCUAUUGUAAAAAAUUUCACUUGAGGCUCAAAGCAGUUAUGUAAUAAUCUAUAAAUAGGGGAUUAUGUAUUUAGUAAACAUGAAGAAAAGGAAUACAAUUUUAAAAGCAUACAGAUACCAAAUUAAAAUCAAAUUAUGAAUUUAGCUUAGUCAUUGUAAUAUAUAAACCUUCAUGUUUAUUGUUAAGUCAAUCUGUAAUGUGUGGAAAGAGAAAAAAAUGUUUAUCAUGUUUAUUUAUGGCCAAAUUUAAAUGUUAAAAUACUGCAAUUUUUAAAAAGUUUCCUAUUUUAUGGUUUUUUCUUGCUAUUAAUAUUAAAAUAUGUAAAUAGGAUACAUAAAAAGUGAAGAAAACUUCAAAGCCUGUAAGAAGGUUUUUGUUGCAUACUAGUUAAUCAAACUGAUGCUGUAGUCAGAGGGGGAAAGAACCUAAGAGCUAACUGUAAAUAUUGCAUAGCUAAUAAACUGCCAAGAACAAGUAAUCAUCUCUGUUUUAAAAAAAAAUGCAAGUUCACAUGGAAAACCAUCUUUUUAAAUGCAUGAUAAACCAAUCUUUUCAAUGUGAUCUGUAUACUGUGGUACUGAAUAUUUGGUGCAAAUUUUAGAGUAUAUGGUAAAAUGGUUCUACAACAUAUUACAGCUUACCAAAAAUAUGUCUGUUUAAUGAAAUAAUUUUUUUUGCUACUACAAAAACCCAUUUGUGGUCAUUUGAAAGUUCUGAUUUCCUUUCCCUCUCCUUCACUGAAGACCCAAAUUUGAAGAGGAAUUCUGCAUUUAUCUAUCCACACUUCAGACUGAGUUUCAUGACAAUAGACCUGACAUAUUUCUCACCCCUACUUGAAAACCUCUAGAGAAGAGGAAUAUACUUCCUGAAGAAGUUCAUUUCCACUUUUAGAAAGCAAAUUAUAGGAAUCUUUGUCUGACUGUAAGCCUAAAUCUGCCUCUGUAAUUUUCACCUGUGCUCAACUGUUGGUGAAAAGUGCAGGAAAUCUAAUUUUACUUUCAUAUGAUAGCCCAUCAAAUACAUGAAAACUUUAUUAAAUGCCCAACCUGAGUCUCUGGGCUCAACAUGCCCAUUUUUUUCUCAUAUUGUGUGAUCUUGAGACCUUUUAUUGUUGUGGUUGCCCCUUCCUGGACUGUAGUACCCAUGCACACAAUACUAAAUUCUGAUGAAGGUAGAGUAACAUUGAAAUGACCAUUCUUUCUAGAGGCUGCUCCUCUUAAUGUAGUCCAAGAUCAAAGUAGUUCUUUUGGCUGUCUUAUCACCUUGCUGACUCAUUUAACAUUGCAAUCCAUGAAAAUCCCCAAAGCUUCUUUCAGACAAACUUCUAUCUAACUACAGCUUAUCCUGCAAAUGGAAAGUUGAUUUUUUUUUUUUAACCAAACAUAUUUCAUUUCAUCUGAUUAGGUGCAGCCUGGUUUUUUUUUACCCCCUAUAUUGUCAAGAUCUUUUGGAUCUUGACUGCAUUCCAGAGUCUUA